rnacentral:RNase_P_RNA from 1 species
GUGGUGGGCUGGAUGAUCGCUGUUCGCCUCGCGUAAGCGAGUUGAAGAGAGGAAAGUCCGAACUCCAUAGGGCAGUGCGCCGGGUAACUCCCGGUCGGGGCAACUCGAAGGACUAGUGGCACAGAAAAUAUACCGCCCGCCGUCGCUCUCGGCCCUCGGGCCUUGAGCUAUGGCGAGGUAAGGGUGAAAAGGUGCGGUAAGAGCGCACCGCGUCUGCUGUAAGGCAGAUGGCAGGCAAAACCCCGCACGGAGCAAGGCCAAAUAGGGGGACGCACGAGCACCGGCGCGCUUAGCGGCGCGUGCGGACUCGUUAAGGACGGCCCGUCCGAUGUCUCCGGGUAGGCUGCUGGAGCCGGUGAGCAAUCACCGGCCUUGAGGAAUGAUCGUCGUCUGCCCUAGCCCGCCGUAGCGCCGUAAGGCGCGAAGGCGGGCGAAGGUGGAAACAGAAUUCGGCUUACGGCCCGCCACGACG